GGGGACGCUAGGUUCCGGAACCUGACCUGAGCUGGGGCCUGUGCUUCCAGCGGGUGGUGGGGGGCCUGGUGUGCUGGCAUCAAGUAAGCCGACUACCUCGGCAAAGGCUUAGGGACAAGAGACCAGCAGCCUGAACUGGCUGGGGCAUCCGGAAGGCUUAGAUCUUGUGGCCAAGAGUUCAGACCGUGGCGAAGUGGAGAGUGACAUGCAGUUGGAUGGCGGUGACUGCGUGGUAUGGAAGAAAAUUCAGCUGAAAUUUGCUAGAAAAUGAGUUGUUUUGGAAAGAGACUGUAGAGAAAGGCAAAUGGAAGAAGAAAGCUUCUGUGCCCCCACAGAUACCGACUGAAAAGUGUUAGCAUGAGCAAAAGUUCCUAUCUAAUAUUAUAUGCUUUCCUUUGCUCCCAGCAUUCCACAAUCACGGGCUACUUCAAUUCUGCCUGCUGAGCUGAUUUAAUAAUCUGGAAGAGGAUUAUUCUCCCCCAUCUGGAAGAGGAUUAUUCUCUAUAAUCCCAGUUAGAGACACAAUGACAUAAACAUCGCUGUCCUGCAACCCUGGUUCCAGUCUGGCAAGCAUUGUAGACCUGGCUGCUGAAGACUGACGGGGCCCAGGGUCCGCUGCCCCCACCGCCAUCACCACCUCGGAACCCAGGGUAACGCUGUCAGUCUUUGUUUAAAGGUGCCCCCUGGAAAAAAUGUAACAAUUCCCUCACCUGUGACUGGUACCUGACAGCCACCACACCGGGGCAGCAAUGGCUAACGGUUGACAAAGACAAUUUCUUUCUCUCUCCAAAACCAAACAGCCUUCAUCAACUCCCUAGCCAAGACUCCCUAUCAGGCCCUUACAGGUGCCGCUCUGGCUGGCAGUUACCCAAUUUGGGAAAACGAAAAUACCCUAUCAUGGCUACCUACCUUCACCUACAACUUCUGCCUGUCCACCCCCAGUCUCUUCUUUUUGUGUGAUACAAACUGAUAUCUUUGCCUACCAGCCAACUGGUCAGGAACUUGCACCCUGGUCUUUCAGGCUCCAACCAUCAACAUCCUACCCCCUAACCAAACUAUUCUAAUUUCUGUAGAAGCCUCUAUCUCCUCUUCACCCAUAAGAAAUAAAUGGGCUCUACAUCUCAUCACCCUGCUAACAGGAUUAGGCAUCACUGCUGCACUUGGCACUGGAAUAGCAGGCAUAACCACCUCAAUCACCUCAUACCAAACACUAUUCACAACCCUUUCUAACACCGUAGAAGAUAUGCACACUUCCAUUACCAGUCUCCAACGACAAUUAGACUUCCUCGUGGGAGUCAUCCUUCAAAACUGGAGAGUCCUGGACCUCCUAACCACUGAGAAAGGGGGUACCUGCAUAUACCUCCAGGAAGAAUGCUGUUUCUGUGUUAAUGAAUCUGGCAUUGUUCAUAUCGCAGUUCGUAGGCUUCAUGACAGGGCUGCAGAGCUUUGACAUCAAGUCGCUGACUCCUGGUGGCAAGGAUCAUCCCUUCUAAGAUGGAUACCCUGGGUUGCCCCCUUCCUAGGACCCCUGAUCUUCCUCUUCCUGUUACUAAUGAUUGGGCCAUGCAUAUUUAACCUUGUAUCCCGCUUCAUUUCCCAAAGGCUGAAUUGUUUUAUCCAGGCAAGCAUGCAAAAACACAUUGAUAAUAUAUUUCACCUUUGCCACGUCUAAUACCAGAGCCUACGAGGAAACCAUUCGGAAGCUCCAGAACCCAGGCCCUAAUCACAACGCCCCUAUCCAGCAGGAAGCAGCCAGAUGAUCAACGACGCCCUUUUUCCUUUUUAUACUAAAGUAAGAAAUAAGAAUGUUAGCCCAAACUGCACUAUUUUGCAGACCCCUACCAUUUUACAAACUGGUCAGAGUGGAAAAUUCCACCAGGGCCUGAGCUGUGAGAAACAUCCUGUCAGGCAGGUCCCAGGCCUAACCCCUGGCUGCACUAAAUUCCUUCAUUAUCAGCAGCCAAACACACCGCCCCCA
rnacentral:lncRNA from 1 species